rnacentral:rRNA from 2 species
UAUUGGGCGUAAGCGAGCGCAGGCGGUUUUUUAAGUCUGAUGUGAAAGCCUUCGGCUCAMCCGAAGAAGUGCAUCGGAAACUGGGAAACUUGAGUGCAGAAGAGGACAGUGGAACUCCAUGUGUAGCGGUGAAAUGCGUAGAUAUAUGGAAGAACACCAGUGGCGAAGGCGGCUGUCUGGUCUGYAACUGACGCUGAGGCUCGAAAGUAUGGGUAGCAAACAGGAUUAGAUACCCUGGUAGUCCAUACCGUAAACGAUGAAUGCUAAGUGUUGGAGGGUUUCCGCCCUUCAGUGCUGCAGCUAACGCAUUAAGCAUUCCGCCUGGGGAGUACGGCCGCAAGGCUGAAACUCAAAGGAAUUGACGGGGGCCCGCACAAGCGGUGGAGCAUGUGGUUUAAUUCGAAGCUACGCGAAGAACCUUACCAGGUCUUGACAUACUAUGCAAAUCUAAGAGAUUAGACGUUCCCUUCGGGGACAUGGAUACAGGUGGUGCAUGGUUGUCGUCAGCUCGUGUCGUGAGAUGUUGGGUUAAGUCCCGCAACGAGCGCAACCCUUAUUAUCAGUUGCCAGCAUUAAGUUGGGCACUCUGGUGAGACUGCCGGUGACAAACCGGAGGAAGGUGGGGAUGACGUCAAAUCAUCAUGCCCCUUAUGACCUGGGCUACACACGUGCUACAAUGGAUGGUACAACGAGUUGCGAACUCGCGAGAGUAAGCUAAUCUCUUAAAGCCAUUCUCAGUUCGGAUUGUAGGCUGCAACUCGCCUACAUGAAGUCGGAAUCGCUAGUAAUCGCGGAUCAGCAUGCCGCGGUGAAUACGUUCCCGGGCCUUGUACACACCGCCCGUCACACCAUGAGAGUUUGUAACACCCAAAGUCGGUGG